GACAUGAAAGUAAGCCUAAGCAAUGUUACAAGAUAUUGGAGCAACUUCUAUUUAUGAGUAUCGUUUUGAAAAGCAUUGAGGGUGCUCGGAUGGAUAGAAUUUUCACAUCAAACAAUCUUGGCACGUAACGAUUUUUUUUUUUCGGACACUUUGCGGAAGGAAUUUAUCCGAUUUCGAUUUCAAAGACUCCGAUUAUGUGGAAAACAAAGAACUCAGUAGUAUCCAAACUUUUCGAUUGCGCUACGUGUGUGACAUUCUCAUGCACAAAAUACUCGACUGAGCGAGGAGGAAGAUAGAAGUCCGUUAGGCUUCCUAUGGUGGCUGAAUAGUUCUCGUGGGAGCGAUUCGGUAGCCGAGGACGACGCUGACAGAAUGAUAGUCUGGCUCUGUAGACUGUCUCAAAGGCACGCAGACGAAGGUGUAUAACUGCUUUGGCUGGUGCUCAACAUGCUUGAACUCCCCGGAAUGUCGGAAAUAUGUUUGAUUUAAUUAAUCACUAGCAACAUUGAACCGAUAACUAGUUAUCCUAUGGAAACGGGUUGGUGAUUUGUUCCUGGCUAUGGCAUUGACUUGCAUUGUUAUGAUUAUGAUGUGCGUCAGACGAUGGAAAAGGUUAUCGUCUUUGCUGUGCGGCUCACCAAUCUAGAUAUGCAGCAUUAUUGGAUCAAAAUCAAUUAAGUCUCUGUCCCAUAAAUCUGCAUUGGCUCUGAUUGGCUAUAGGGUAAGUGACAAACUCUGAACCCAGAUAACAAUAGAUGUAAU